AACGAACGCUGGCGGCAGGCUUAACACAUGCAAGUCGAGCGCCCCGCAAGGGGAGCGGCAGACGGGUGAGUAACGCGUGGGAAUCUACCGUGCCCUACGGAAUAGCUCCGGGAAACUGGAAUUAAUACCGUAUACGCCCUACGGGGGAAAGAUUUAUCGGGGAUGGAUGAGCCCGCGUUGGAUUAGCUAGUUGGUGGGGUAAAGGCCUACCUAGGCGACGAUCCAUAGCUGGUCUGAGAGGAUGAUCAGCCACAUUGGGACUGAGACACGGCCCAAACUCCUACGGGAGGCAGCAGUGGGGAAUAUUGGACAAUGGGCGCAAUCCUGAUCCAGCCAUGCCGCGUGAGUGAUGAAGGCCUUAGGGUUGUAAAGCUCUUUCACCGAUGAAGAUAAUGACGGUAGUCGGAGAAGAAGCCCCGGCUAACUUCGUGCCAGCAGCCGCCGUAAAAC
rnacentral:rRNA from 1 species